rnacentral:tRNA from 1 species
AUAUUUUAAGGUAUAAUACCUUCUUAAUAUCUUCAAUAUUAAACUUUAAAUAAGCUAUUAAAACU